GGCGGCGCGCUUAACACAUGCAAGUCGAACGGGGCUCGGCCUUCGGGCUGAGUUCAGUGGCGAACGGGUGCGUAACACGUGAGCAACCUGCCCCUGUAUGGGGGAUAACCCUGGGAAACCGGGGCUAAUACCGCAUGCGCUCUGGAGGCUACCUGGCCUUUUGAGGAAAGCUCCUGCAAGGGAGUGUGCAGGGAGGGGCUCGCGGCGUAUCAGCUAGUUGGCGGGGUAACGGCCCACCAAGGCGACGACGCGUAGCCGGUCUGAGAGGACGACCGGCCACAUUGGGACUGAGAUACGGCCCAGACUCCUACGGGAGGCAGCAGUGGGGAAUCUUGCGCAAUGGGCGAAAGCCUGACGCAGCGACGCCGCGUGGGGGAGGAAGCUUUUCGGAGUGUAAACCCCUGUCAGGAGGGAAGAACGGUCCAGGGAGGAAAUGCCUUGGAUUUGACGGUACCUCCAGAGGAAGCACCGGCUAACUCUGUGCCAGCAGCCGCGGUAAUACAGAGGGUGCGAGCGUUGUUCGGAAUUACUGGGCGUAAAGCGCGCGUAGGCGGUCAUUUAAGUCUUACCGUGAAAUGCCGGGGCUCAACCCCGCGCACGUCGGGGGAUACUGGGUGACUGGAGACAAGUAGAGGCGAGCGGAAUUCCGGGUGUAGCGGUGGAAUGCGUAGAGAUCCGGAAGAACACCAGAGGCGAAGGCGGCUCGCUGGGCUUGGUCUGACGCUGAGGCGCGAAAGCGUGGGGAGCGAACAGGAUUAGAUACCCUGGUAGUCCACGCCGUAAACGAUGGAUGCUAGACGCUGGGCGGAUCGACCCGGUCAGUGUCGCAGCUAACGCGAUAAGCAUCCCGCCUGGGGAGUACGGCCGCAAGGCUGAAACUCAAAUGAAUUGACGGGG
rnacentral:rRNA from 1 species